UGGGGAAUUUUGCGCAAUGGGGGAAACCCUGACGCAGCAACGCCGCGUGGAGGAUGAAAUCCCUUGGGAUGUAAACUCCUUUCGAUCGGGACGAUUAUGACGGUACCGGAAGAAGAAGCCCCGGCUAACUUCGUGCCAGCAGCCGCGGUAAUACGAGGGGGGCAAGCGUUGUUCGGAAUUAUUGGGCGUAAAGGGCGCGUAGGCGGUUUGACAAGUCUGAUGUGAAAUCUCUGGGCUCAACCCAGAGUCUGCAUUAGAAACUGUCGGGCUUGAGUAUGGGAGAGGUGAGUGGAAUUUCCGGUGUAGCGGUGAAAUGCGUAGAUAUCGGAAGGAACACCUGUGGCGAAAGCGGCUCACUGGACCAUAACUGACGCUGAGGCGCGAAAGCUAGGGGAGCAAACAGGAUUAGAUACCCUGGUAGUCCUAGCCCUAAACGAUGAUUGCUUGGUGUGACAGGUACCCAAUCCUGUCGUGCCGAAGCUAACGCGAUAAGCAAUCCGCCUAGGGAGUACGGUCGCAAGGCUGA
rnacentral:rRNA from 1 species